rnacentral:rRNA from 1 species
CAGCCGCCGCGGUAAUACGAAGGGGGCUAGCGUUGCUCGGAUUUACUGGGCGUAAAGGGCGCGUAGGCGGACAGUUUAGUUGGGGGUGAAAGCCCGGGGCUCAACCUCGGAAUUGCCUUCAAUACUGGCUGUCUUGAGUAUGGGAGAGGUGAGUGGAACUCCGAGUGUAGAGGUGAAAUUCGUAGAUAUUCGGAAGAACACCAGUGGCGAAGGCGACUCACUGGCCCAUUACUGACGCUGAGGCGCGAAAGCGUGAGGAGCAAACAGGAUUAGAUACCCCCGUAGUCCCUGUCUCUUAUAC